UGAGCUCCAUGAUGGUCUUUCAAGAGAUGCUGGAGUUAUUAACGGAAGAUGGAAAACAUGCCCUGAAGUCACCCGUGCACCACAGCCUGCUGCCACUCUACUUCCACUGCCAUGAUGAGAAUCAGAUUGUUGCUGAGUGUUCUCGGGAAACGCUGCUUUGUGCAGCCAAGUUCCUGAAGAGGAGGGAUAUAAAAAAGCUGGUGAAGGAGGAAAAACUGUGGAAGUUCAGCAAGUGCCUGCUGGCAGAGGACACGAGCCGAGCGGCCGAGCAGCUGCGCCG